rnacentral:lncRNA from 1 species
AUCAUCUUACCGACAUGCCUUAAUUUGAGCUAAUCGGGUUCUAACCUAUAACCCUAAUUGGAAGGGUGUUAGCACCAUGCCACGGGUACUAAUAACUGUUGUGGAUUCAGUCCUAACUAACGGGUGACCCCUGAGAUUAGUCGUAAACUAGCGGGUGAUCCCUGAGUAUAUCAGUCCUAUCUAAUGGGUGACAUCUCUUAAACUACGUUGGCUACGUAGUUCUAGAACUUAAGGAUUACUUCUAGGGACCCAGUCCUAGCUAACGGGUGAGACUCUAUCCCUACGCUUGCUCGGUGCUAAAUCCUACUCCCAAUUGAAAAACAUUGAUCUGAUCAUACUGAACUGGAC